rnacentral:rRNA from 1 species
UAGAUACCCUGGUAGUCCACGCAGUAAACGAUGAUAACUGGGCGUAUGCGAUAUACAGUAUGCUCCUAAGCGAAAGCGUUAAGUUAUCCACCUAAGGAGUACGCCGGCAACGGUGAAACUCAAAAGAAUUGACAGGGGCCCGCACAAGCAGAGGAACAUGUGGUUUAAUUCGAUGAUACGCGAAGAACCUUACCCGGGAUUGAAAUGUAGAUGACCGCCGGUGAAAGUCGGCUUUCCUUCAGGACAUCUA